rnacentral:rRNA from 1 species
GAUGAACGCUGGCGGCGUGCCUAACACAUGCAAGUCGAACGAAGCAAUAAAGACGGAGAUUCGUCAAAGCCUUUAUUGACUUAGUGGCGGACGGGUGAGUAACACGUGAGUAACCUGCCUCUCAGAGUGGAAUAACGUUUGGAAACGAACGCUAAUACCGCAUAACGUGAGAAGAGGGCAUCCUCUUUUUACCAAAGAUUUAUCGCUGAGAGAUGGGCUCGCGGCCGAUUAGGUAGUUGGUGAGAUAACAGCCCACCAAGCCGACGAUCGGUAGCCGGACUGAGAGGUUGAUCGGCCACAUUGGGACUGAGACACGGCCCAG